CUUCAAGUGUAGGAGCAGGACUUGAGGAAGAAAGAGAGGACAAGAAAAGAGAAAUGAUUGAUUGCUACUCAAGCUGUUUUCACCUGGCAGAAGGCAUCUGCCAUCAUGAUGGAACAAAAAUACAAGUUUAAUAUAAUGCUUAACAAAGACUGUACCUUUCCUCACAAUUUGGAAUACCCUCUCCUUGGAGUUCAUGGGAUGCUCUUCUCGCUCUCUCUUCAUCUUGAUUUCUAACAGUAAGACUGCAAGAUAGAAAACAAAAGUUUAGUUAACUUUAUAAAGGUAGAGGCUGAACCUACACUAGAUGCUUCACCUCUAAUAUUUUACAAAAUUCAGCUAAAGGAAAAGAAGCUAUGAGUAGCCGUAUGACCAUAGUUAUACUCUUGACACUAGUUUUAAACUUGUGUAAAUCUGGUGAGCCUUAACAUAGCUGAUCACUGUUCAAAAUUGUAUCAUGUAGGCUUUCUAUUCUAGGGUUAUUUCUUUUUUUAGGUUAAUUUCUAUUAUAUCUUUCUAUUUCUAGGGUUAAUUUAUGUAUAUGAGUAGACUUUAUCAGAUACCAAAUCCAUAUGUAUUCCAUACAGGCUUAUUAUGCUGUAUUCUAUGUGCUUGAUGGAAUGGUUUUAUGUGAGUUAGACUUCAAGGGGUUUUUGGAAAGGUGAUUCUUUGUAGGGUAUGAACCCUGGCUAUUUUUUAUAUCCACAGGGCAUGAUGAGUCCCAGCUGUGGAGUGAUGACACCAUUAAAAGAAAGCCAGAGUUUAGCAACUGGAGCUCGAGUUUUAAGCAAGAGAGACACCUUUAUAUAUGGAUGUUGGAUGUAUUAAACAUCUUUCAGAGUUCAAGCAUAGACAUAGCUACGUAGCACAGUUAUGGAUUGCAGCCUUGAGAAAAUGGUAGUGUAUGCUUCACAAACUAAGGCCUAGAGCAAAAAAUAAGCAGAUACAUCAUUGCUAAAUAUCACUUUGAGUAUGUCUGACUGGCAAUGCUGUAUUAGUUUGUUGGUCUUUGUAGUAUUAAAGAACGAAUAAAUGUUUGCUGCAAUCUGUAGUGA